AGAUUUAACAUGGACCCUGGAUCUUUGAUGGGGAAAAAUAAACUCCCUUCCUUUGUGAUUCAUUUUGGAAAAAAAAGAGAAGAGGAACUAUAUAAUAAAAUUUACUCUUGGAGAUUCUGGGAGCAACAGGACAGAAAUCUUGCAGUCGUGUGCCCCACAACGACAUUUUGGUCAACAAUGGACUGCAUAUACCAUGUGGCCCCAUAAGAUUAUAAUAGAGCUGAAAAAUUCCUGCUGCCUAGUGACAUUGUCGCUGUUGUGAUGAUGUUGUAGCUAUUGUAGUAGCACAAUGCAUUACUCACGUGUUUGUGGUGUUCCUGUUGUAAAUAAGUCGACUAUGCUGCCAGUUGUAUAAACGUCUAGCACAUGUAAUUCUGUAUAGUACACAAUACUUGGUAAUGAUAAUAAACGACUAUGUUACUGGUUUAUAUAUUUGUUGUACUAUUUAUCAUUACUUUAGAGUGUAUUC
rnacentral:lncRNA from 1 species